GUCAGCCCCUCCCAGACUGUACUUGGAAGGUGAAGACACUCAUCAUUUGCCAGCAUGUUUCUGAGACUUUAUUUUUCUUCAUUUUCCAAAGAUGAAAACCAAGCAAAAAGCAGAGGCAUCAGUUUUUCUCUACAAGCUGACUUGUAGAAACAUUUGUAGAGACACUCCAACCAAUCCAGUGGAAGCAUUUCCUUUACUUGGAUGGAUGAACUCCAUUCAUUCAAGGAUGGUCAUGGGAACUGUCGGAGCCAAGGAGGUGCAAAGGUACUUUUGGUGAGGAAAGGGUACCUAUGAAAGAGGAGACAGGAACAGAGAUCCAGAAGGACACUUUGAUGACAGGCUGUUUCUCAGGGAGAAUGGUUUUAAUA
ensembl:lncRNA